UUGAAUUGAAGAGUUUGAUCAUGGCUCAGAUUGAACGCUGGCGGCAGGCUUAACACAUGCAAGUCGAACGGUAGCAGGAAGAAAGCUUGCUUUCUUUGCUGACGAGUGGCGGACGGGUGAGUAAUGCUUGGGAAUCUGGCUUA
rnacentral:rRNA from 1 species